CCUAGGAAUGGCUGACUCCAUGGCAGUGUGUGCUUGUGGCUUCAGGUUUUACAUGACUGAAAGUGAAUAUGAGAGUCUGGCCUUGCCCUAGAUAUCUCUGCAUCUGCCAACUGGGACCCAUAUUUGGAAGCUUCUGUAUCCUCCAAGUUAAUACCACCAGCUGUGACCACUUCUAAGCAGAGACUACGGUGCCUGGCAGAGUUCUUAGAAUUUAGUGGAUUUUCAACAUAGGCUUAUAUUUAACGAAUUAAUAAUGAAAGGCUUGAUUCUUCUGACAUCUUCCUUUAUGGUAAAGACAGUGAAUGGAAAAUCAGAGCUGAAGAAGAGGAGAUGCUUUUCAACGGACCUCUCAUUUGAAGUCCAGUGAGCACACAAUCAAGCGUUGGUCUUGCCAUCUCCGUUUCCGAGACUUGCCAGGUAUUUCCUGGGCUGUCAGCUGUUAGCUGGAGUGUGUGCAGGGUUCUGAGAGGUAUGGAGCCACAGGGAGCUGCAGUUUUAGCUCCUAGCUAUACUCGGCACCUCAGUUCCCAUGAAGAAUCAGCCUUCUCUCCUCCUGCUGGGAACCCCUCCUGGUGAGGGAUCCUGGGGGUGGCAGCCAUCUUCCCACAGCCUGUCACUGAGAGGAAAGAAUGGCACUGGGUCCAGUGUAACUGGAGGAUGUGACAACUGGAAGGACACAUGAGUGAUGGAGAAAUGUCUUUGUAAUCAGAACUAUUCGUUGGCCCUCAGCAUCUCCUAUCCAUUCCACUACGCAGACGGGGAGACUGAGUCAGUGGUGACUGGGAGAUCUGCACUGGCUCAGUCAGAAGCAAGACCAGACUGUUUCCAAGCUCUGAGCUGAAAGUGUCUGUGCUAGCUUUAUGCAGUUGCUGACCCGUUCCCGCUGGUGGGCACUUUGAUAAAUCAUUUCAAUUAGAAACAGAUGUUAUCAUGCUACACACAGAGAUGUAUCUUCCCAAGGUUCCAAACCAGCGAUGUUGCUAUUUAUGACUUCCAGUCGGUGUGUGGUCAGUGCUGGCCUAACCUCACACACGAACAAAUAAGCACACGGCAACGUUAGCUUUGGUGUUUCAGGAGAGCCGAGUAUAGAGUUGUGUGUCCUCCCUAGACAUAAGAUUAAUCUUGUUUGGGAAAUGGGCAGGGGAAAUAAGAGUUUGGGUUUUUGUGCAAAACAUCCAGCAAAUAACACAACAAAGGAGACUGUAGGAAUCUCUGUCUGGGAGGUAAUCACUGAAACAGCCUUCCUCACUCCAUGACACCUGGUUGAAACCAUCAUAGUUUGAGGACCUAAACUUGCAUGAAGAGGCAGUCCCAUGUCAUUUCUCCCGUAUUUAAUAUUCAUAUGGCUUUUGUUUUCUGAUAAUGACUCCCACUUAGCAAUAAAAUUA
ensembl:lncRNA LOC102551724 uncharacterized LOC102551724